AUUUGUCAUAGAUAUUUUCUUCUCUCUCCAGGGCAUGGCAGUUUCUAUGGUAAUAAUGCCCUUGGUCGCCGUUCAAUGACCGAAUAAAAAGAAAGAAUGAUUCUCUCUGCCCGAUCGCCGUCGUGCUUCGCUUCUCGUCGGCAGGUACUGGCGAUUAAUGAUUCGCUGAUCCGUACUGGUAAAGAAAUGAGACGUUCGGUGUUCUGAUUUUUUAUUCUUCACCAGGUAAGAAUUGUUACAUUAUUCUCCUUGUUACACACAGUUUCUCAUUCUUCUCUUAUUGCUGUGAUUUUAUAGAACGAAGUUUCUGUUUUGUUUUUGCAAACUUGGUUUGAAAACCCAGGGGAGGUUCCUACGGUGGUAGAAAUGCUAUUUGUUUCUCACUUUUCUUUUUGAUUUUUUGUGUCUGAAUGUGGUAUGACUUUCUUUGGGUAACAAAACUUGCUUCAGUGCAAGAGAAGUGUACUGACCAGUGACCAUUAGAACUAGUUGAUUUUCUUGUGUUUCAGCUGGUAGAGUGACAUAUGAUAUGACAGUUUCUGAUUAGUGCCGGUGUAUUUGAAUUUGGAAUGCUCGUGAUAAGAUGAUGGAUGAAUGCUCAAUUUUCACUUGGAUCUUUUACAUCUAAA